UACGUAGGGUGCGAGCGUUGUCCGGAAUUAUUGGGCGUAAAGGGCUCGUAGGCGGUCUGUCGCGUCGGGAGUGAAAACUCAGGGCUUAACCCUGAGCCUGCUUCCGAUACGGGCAGACUAGAGGUAUGCAGGGGAGAACGGAAUUCCUGGUGUAGCGGUGGAAUGCGCAGAUAUCAGGAGGAACACCGGUGGCGAAGGCGGUUCUCUGGGCCAUUACUGACGCUGAGGAGCGAAAGCGUGGGGAGCGAACAGG
rnacentral:rRNA from 1 species